AGUGAACGCUGGCGGUAGGCCUAACACAUGCAAGUCGAACGGCAGCACAGUAAGAGCUUGCUCUUACGGGUGGCGAGUGGCGGACGGGUGAGGAAUACAUCGGACUCUACUUUUUCGUGGGGGAUAACGUAGGUAAACUUACGCUAAUACCGCAUACGACCUACGGGUGAAAGCAGGGGAUCUUCGCACCUUGCGCGAUUGAAUGAGCCGAUGUCGGAUUAGCUAGUUGGCGGGGUAAAGGCCCACCAAGGCGACGAUCCGUAGCUGGUCUGAGAGGAUGAUCAGCCACACUGGAACUGAGACACGGUCCAGACUCCUACGGGAGGCAGCAGUGGGGAAUAUUGGACAAUGGGCGCAAGCCUGAUCCAGCCAUACCGCGUGGGUGAAGAAGGCCUUCGGGUUGUAAAGCCCUUUUGUUGGGAAAGAAAAGCAGCAGGUUAAUACCCCGCUGUUCUGACGGUACCCAAAGAAUAAGCACCGGCUAACUUCGUG
rnacentral:rRNA from 1 species